CCGCCUCUCUCCCCCCCUCUCCGCCGCCUCUCUCUUCCCCCUUCUCCCCGAUCCAGAUCCAACCCAAGCGCCCCGUCCUCCGCCGCAGCCACGACGUCAGAUCCCUCCGCCCGCUCGCGCCACCCACCUUCGGAUCCCUCCGCCCGCUCGCGCCCUUGCCCCCUCUCCGCCUGCGGGGCCGCGCCCCUCGCGCUGCUCCCUGACGACGCGCCGAGGAGAGGGAGAGGAGAUGGACGUGGUGAAGGCGGCGCAGUUGUCGGGGCGGACGCUGGAGAAGGUGAUGAUGCACCCGCUGGUGCUGCUCAGCAUCGUCGACCACUACAACCGCGUCGCCCGCGACACCAGGAACCGCGUCGUCGGUGUGCUCCUUGGCACCUCCUCCCGCGGCGUCGUCGACGUCACCAACUCCUACGCCGGUAAGCGAACGACCGAACCCCCGCCUCUUCCCUGCUAGGGUUUGCGCCGUCCGGGUCCCCGGCCUGUUUCCGGGGGAUCCGCGCCUCUGGCGGGGCCUAGGGUUCGCGGAACCCACCCUGGCUGUAGCUGCUGCUAGAUCCGCUGGCGCGAAACCCUUGCGUGAUUAGAUCUGUAGAGCUAUUUAUUACGGUGGUGGCUUACUGAAUUUGUGAAUUGCGUCGGCGUGUGAUCUUGCAAUGCCGUUUGAGGAGGAUGACAAGGACCCAAGGAUCUGGUUCCUCGACCAUAAUUACCAUGAGUCUAUGUUCUCCAUGUUCAAGAGGAUCAACGCCAAGGAGCAUGUCGUUGGCUGGUACAACACUGGUCCAAAACUGAAGGAGAAGGGCUUGGAUGUUCAUGCAUUGUUUACCAAGUAUGAUUCUGCUCUACAACCAUUGUUCCCCUGGAUUUAGAUUGAUUUGCACUUAACCAAUACGACGAGUGCGACGACGAGUCCGACCAGGGCGCACUGGCAGAGGAGGCCCAGGAGCUCGCCGCCCCUGAUAGCGAGGGCGCGCCCGACUUGGAUGGUGUCUGCCAAGGCCAACGCCAGUGAGGACGUCGUCCCGGAGUUUGUUGGGGACCUCAUCCCAUUUGACAAGGCGCGUGUCACUACGAGUGUGUCCCCAUGGACGGCACGAGAAAUAGUGAGGAUGAAGAGGUGAAUGGUGUUGAUUGUUGAACUGAAAGCUUGAUUUGGUCAGGUGGAGGGUGGCUUUGUGUAGAAUGGGGAGGUGGGAGAAGAAGAACUCUGAAGGUUUUUUUUGUGGCAUCCAGGGGCAUAAUGCUGGAGCUAGUAGGCAAGCUAGCACCCAUGGAUUCGUGAACUGGCUUGGAUGUGUACUUGGUUGCCAGGGUUGGAUGAGGACGACGGCAACAAGUUUGAUUGACCGGAGAUGCUAAUAGGAAAGCAAAGCAAAUAGGAAAAGCAUGUGCUGCUGCUUUUUCUUAUCCUCUGCACACAAGUAAAGCAAAGCAUCCUAUUUUUAUUUCUUCAUUCAUGAUGCAUAAAAUUCUGGUAUUGUGUUCAUAUAGCUAAUCUGCUGCUGUUGUGCAUAAAAUUCCAUGAUCUUGAAGCAAGACCUACUUUCUGGUCCUGUAGUGUUUAAAACUGAUAAUUAUGAUGUAGUUGAUAGGCCUUGAUCUCAACCUCUCAAGUUUAUGUUCCCUGGUGUGUAGUUAACUUGUCUGUCAUUUUUAUUGGCAAGCCUGUAAUGAAUUUAUUAGAAUUUUGCUCCUAUUGCCGUGUACAGUAUGAAGCAAAAUGGUCUAUAUUACUGAGGAUGUAUAAUGUACAAGUAUAGAAACCAUAAAUUCAAGCUUCUGCUGUAGCAUGCUCAAUAUAUAUUGUUAUAGAUUAGUGUUAUACAAAAGGUUGAAACACCAUGGUCUCAGUCAUUUGUAGGAAGUAGAAACACUAAGGCUGACAUACACUUUACUGUUUCAUUCGUUUUUUCUAAUUUAAUUUUGUGGAUAGUAAAUUUGCAACUGUACGCCCUUUGUAAAAAAAUUGCAUUUUAUGUUCCCAUUCCCUGUAAUGCUGAAGCAUGGUUCUCUGAUAAUCUGCACCACUGAAAGGCUGAU